rnacentral:rRNA from 1 species
CAGUCGCCGCGGGAAUACGAAGGGUGCAGGCGUUAAUCGGAAUUACUGGGCGUAAAGCGCACGUAGGCGGAUCGAUCAGUCAGGGGUGAAAUCCCAGAGCUCAACUCUGGAACUGCCUUUGAUACUGUCGAUCUGGAGUGUGGAAGAGGUGAGUGGAAUUCCGAGUGUAGAGGUGAAAUUCGUAGAUAUUCGGAGGAACACCAGUGGCGAAGGCGGCUCACUGGUCCAUUACUGACGCUGAGGUGCGAAAGCGUGGGGAGCAAACAGGAUUAGAUACCCCAGUAGUCCCUGUCUCUUAUAC